CCUGGCUCAGGAUGAACGCUAGCGACAGGCUUAACACAUGCAAGUCGAGGGGCAGCACAGGUAGCAAUACCGGGUGGCGACCGGCGCACGGGUGAGUAACGCGUAUGCAACUUACCUAUCAGAGGGGGAUAACCCGGCGAAAGUCGGACUAAUACCGCAUGAAGCAGGGGCCCCGCAUGGGGAUAUUUGCUAAAGAUUCAUCGCUGAUAGAUAGGCAUGCGUUCCAUUAGGCAGUUGGCGGGGUAACGGCCCACCAAACCGACGAUGGAUAGGGGUUCUGAGAGGAAGGUCCCCCACAUUGGUACUGAGACACGGACCAAACUCCUACGGGAGGCAGCAGUGAGGAAUAUUGGUCAAUGGGCGUAAGCCUGAACCAGCCAAGUCGCGUGAGGGAUGAAGGUUCUAUGGAUCGUAAACCUCUUUUAUAAGGGAAUAAAGUGCGGGACGUGUCCCGUUUUGUAUGUACCUUAUGAAUAAGGAUCGGCUAACUCCGUGCCAGCAGCCGCGGUAAUACGGAGGAUCCGAGCGUUAUCCGGAUUUAUUGGGUUUAAAGGGUGCGUAGGCGGCCUUUUAAGUCAGCGGUGAAAGUCUGUGGCUCAACCAUAGAAUUGCCGUUGAAACUGGGGGGCUUGAGUAUGUUUGAGGCAGGCGGAAUGCGUGGUGUAGCGGUGAAAUGCUUAGAUAUCACGCAGAACCCCGAUUGCGAAGGCAGCCUGCCAAGCCAUGACUGACGCUGAUGCACGAAAGCGUGGGGAUCAAACAGGAUUAGAUACCCUGGUAGUCCACGCAGUAAACGAUGAUCACUAGCUGUUUGCGAUACAGUGUAAGCGGCACAGCGAAAGCGUUAAGUGAUCCACCUGGGGAGUACGCCGGCAACGGUGAAACUCAAAGGAAUUGACGGGGGCCCGCACAAGCGGAGGAACAUGUGGUUUAAUUCGAUGAUACGCGAGGAACCUUACCCGGGUUUGAACGCAUUUCGACCGCUCUGGAAACAGAGCCUCUAGCAAUAGCGAUUUGCGAGGUGCUGCAUGGUUGUCGUCAGCUCGUGCCGUGAGGUGUCGGCUUAAGUGCCAUAACGAGCGCAACCCUUGCCACUAGUUACUAACAGGUAAAGCUGAGGACUCUGGUGGGACUGCCAGCGUAAGCUGCGAGGAAGGCGGGGAUGACGUCAAAUCAGCACGGCCCUUACAUCCGGGGCGACACACGUGUUACAAUGGCGUGGACAAAGGGAGGCCACCUGGCGACAGGGAGCGAAUCCCCAAACCACGUCUCAGUUCGGAUCGGAGUCUGCAACCCGACUCCGUGAAGCUGGAUUCGCUAGUAAUCGCGCAUCAGCCAUGGCGCGGUGAAUACGUUCCCGGGCCUUGUACACACCGCCCGUCAAGCCAUGGGAGCCGGGGGUACCUGAAGUCCGUAACCGAAAGGAUCGGCCUAGGGUAAAACUGGUGACUGGGGCUAAGUCGUAACAAGGUAGCCGUACCGGAAGGUGCGGCUGGAACACCUCCUUUCU
rnacentral:rRNA from 1 species